AUGGUCAAGGGUCCCGCGACAAGCAGCAGCAGGUCACCGGGCGUCGUCUCGGGUUUCGGGCGUCGGCUCCAACUCCGGUGGCCACCUCAGCAGCAGAGGAGAGGUACGGGGACGAGUUGGGUGGGGAAGCACCAUCACCAUGGACGGCUUCAUCCCCUACAGGCUACAGGACCAGCAGCAGCCAUGGAUGGAGAGGCCAACCACGCCCAGCAGCAGCAGCAGAUCAAGGUCAAGGAGGUUGGCGUUGUAGAACCUGAAACUGAACCUCCCGGAAGUUCUCUCUCUCUUUUUCUGAUUGAUGCAUGUGUGGGUUCCUUCUCAACCCAUGGCAGGUGCCCUCCAGCUCCAUGGACGACACCGAUGGGCGGGACAUUCCCCCACGCCGACGACGACAUCAUCGAGUCCAACCUCAACCUCGACACACGUCCAACCCUACCAUGA
rnacentral:rRNA from 1 species